rnacentral:rRNA from 1 species
GACGAACGCUGGCGGCGUGCCUAAUACAUGCAAGUCGAACGCAGUGGGGACGGGUGAGUAACACGUGGGUAACCUCCCCUCAGAGGGGGUAACACUUGGAAACAGGUGCUAACCCGCUACUGAUGGAUGGACCCGGUGUGCAUUAGCUAGUGGGUGAGGUAACGGCGCACCAAGGCCACGAUGCAUAGCCGAACUGAGAGGGUGAGCGGCCACACUGGGACUGAGACACGGCCCCACAUCCGACGGGAGGCAGGAGUAGGGAAGCUGCGGCAAGGGACGAAAGUCUGACCGAGCAAAGCCGCGUGAGUGAAGAAGGUUUUCGGAGCGUAAAACUCUGUAGUUAGAGAAGCGGUACCUAACCAGAAAGCCACGGCUAACUACGUGCCAGCAGCCGCGGUAAUAC